rnacentral:rRNA from 1 species
UACGAAGGGGGCUAGCGUUGCUCGGAAUCACUGGGCGUAAAGCGCACGUAGGCGGCUUUCUAAGUCAGGGGUGAAAUCCUGGAGCUCAACUCCAGAACUGCCUUUGAUACUGGGAAGCUCGAGUCCGGAAGAGGUGAGUGGAACUCCGAGUGUAGAGGUGAAAUUCGUAGAUAUUCGGAAGAACACCAGUGGCGAAGGCGGCUCACUGGUCCGGUACUGACGCUGAGACGCGAAAGCGUGGGGAGCGAACAGG